AUUGAACGCUGGCGGCAGGCCUAACACAUGCAAGUCGAACGAGUGGCGGACGGGUGAGUAAUGUCUGGGAAACUGCCUUAUGGAGGGGGAUAACUACUGGAAACGGUCGCUAAUACCGCAUACCAUCAGAUGUGCCCAUAUGGGAUUAGAUAGUUGGUGGGGUAAGGGCUCCCCAAGGCGACGAUCCCUAGCUGGUCUGAGAGGAUGACCAGCCACACUGGAACUGAGACAAUGUCCAGACUCCUACGGGAGGCAGCAGUGGGGAAUAUUGCACAAUGGGGGCAAGCCUGAUGCAGCCAUGCCGCGUGUAUGAAGAAGGCCUUCGGGUUGUAAAGUACUUUCAGUGGGGAGGCGUUACCCGCAGAAGAAGCACCGGCUAACUCCGUGCCAGCAGCCGCGGUAAUUC
rnacentral:rRNA from 1 species